rnacentral:lncRNA from 1 species
UUAACAGAACAGUAAAAUAUACUUUUACAGGACAGUUUCUUGUUUAUUUUUCAGUUCCCAAGUAGCCUGGGAUGGUUAGGCGAUCUUAUCAUUUAAGUCUGCUACAGAGCAUCCUGCAACUCCACAAACUCUAUUGAUGAGAGAUUUCCAGAUGAACCAGAACCUUUAAGAAGUCAAUUGAAAACAGAAGCUCAUUUGAAAUAAUGGACAUAAAGAGAGAAUUUGCAAAUAACACGGGCUAAUGUCACGUGACUAGAGAUACACAGUCUCAGCUCUCCCACUUACUGUAUGGACUUCAUUCAUUCACUGAGCAGAUUAAAAUU